UAUGUUACAGAAGAGAAAAAGUUACCAUUUGAUUGCUAUUUUCUGUACCACUUUGUAUCCAAUCAGUGAUGUGAUCACCAUAUCAACAACAAAUUAUUAAUACAUUUUCAUUGUCAAAAAUGCAGGUGUCAAUCAGGAAAUCAAAAGGGCCGGUCCUGACAAAGAUAAAAAGUUGAACAUCAUGCGUGGAUUUUUCUUUUGGUUAGAGCAUCUAACUCAGCAAGAUGCAUUCCAGCCUUGGGAGGAUGAAGAAUGUCUCCAGACGAAGCAUGGAUCUUCCUAGAAGGUGUUACUUUUUCCCAUUUCCCAAUGUCAAUGUGUGCCAUAAAAACAAGCAAUGGAAGAAAACCAACAACAAUUAUUUCCUUAUUUAACCUCAACUCGUGUUUUGUAGAAGAAACCCAAAGGUUAAUAUUUCAAUUACUGGUCGAUAACAUUUGUGUUGUGCAUGAUCCAUUUGGGAAAAGUUUUCAAGACAGACAGAGAAGGUGAAAGUUUCUUAUACAUUGUAUUGGAUUUCUCCGGUAUACAGAAGUUUUCUUAUGUAGUGCUCUAUGUCUGAAGUCUGAACCUAUUAGACGAAGCGUGUACUCUGUCAAUGGAGCUCCCUGGUCGUGGUGAAAUAUUGGAGUUAGCAUCUCUACAUCUAAUCUAUUUGGUACAAGAGUGAUUACAUAAAAACAUUUUAGUUUUAGAAUUAACUUGCCUCAGUUACUACUAAUGGUGUAAAAUAGGUAACAUAAUUAAGUUUGUAUUAAAAGAGAAGUUUUCAUUA